rnacentral:tRNA from 1 species
GCAUUAAUGGGGUAGUGGUAACCUGGGUCGUUGCCAUUCGAGCUAGAAAGCUCGACCCGCCGGGGGUUCGAUUCCCUCUUAAUGCA